rnacentral:ncRNA from 2 species
GCACGGCGAAUGGGAGAGAGCGGCGACGCCGCCGCCGAAGGCGCAAUCCACCCGGAAACGCUCAGGCAAAUGAACCGUUCGUGCACU